rnacentral:rRNA from 1 species
UGGGGAUGAUGUCAAGUCAGCAUGGCCUUUAUAUCCUGGGCUACACACACGCUACAAUGGCCAACACAAUAGGUUGCUAAGCCGCGAGGUGGCGCCAAUCCAUAAAGUUGGCUCAGUUCAGAUUGUAGGCUGCAACCGCCUGCAUGAAGAUGGAGUUGCUAGUAACCGCAGGUCAGCUAUACUGCGGUGAAUACGUUCCCGGGGCUU